CCCAGACACUAUUGUGGUUGCCAACAAGAGCUUGCUGACCGGAGUCUGAUAUAGCUGUCUUCUGAAAGGCUCUGCCAGUGCCUGACAAAUAUAAAUGCAGAUGCUUCCAGCCAACCAUUGGACUGAGCGCAGGACCCCCAAUGGAGGAGAGAGAAAAAGGAUCAAAGGAGCAAAAGGGGUUUGCAGCCCCAUAGGAAGAACAACAGUAUGAACCAACCAGUAACCCCAGAGCGCCCAGGGACUAAACCACCAACCAAAGAGUACACAUGGAGGGACUCAUGGCUCCAGCUGAAUAUGUAGCAGAGGACAGACUUGUGAGUCAUCAAUGAGAGGAGAGGCCUUUGGGCUUGUGAAGGCUCGAUGCCCCAGUGUAGGGGAAUGCCAGAACAGGGAAGCAGGAGUGGGUGGGUUGGUGAGCAGGGGGAGGGGGCAUGGGAUAUGGUGGUUUUCAGAGGGGAAAUGAGGAAAGGGGAUAAAAUUUGAAACACAAAUAAAGACAAUAUCUAAUAAAAAAGUAAAAUCUAGCAAUGGAGGUUGGGUGUGUUGUGUAGUUAGACAUGUGUGUAAACUGGAGUAGCAUAAAGUGAUGCCUAAUCUCAAUCAUCUCAAUCCGUACAUUGUAUGUAUUGCAUAGGACCACAAACCCUCCACAUUCUAAGUGUAGAUGAGAGGUGGAUGUAUUCAAGAUCACCCUCACACAUAGAUCUGGAGGCCAGAAUAAGAUACACUAUACCAUUUCCCAGAAAAGAGGGAGCAAAUAGAGAAGAAAACAAAACAAAACAAACAAACAAAAAAAAAAAAAAAAAAAAGAGAACGAAAAGCUACUAAGGAGAGUCGAAAAUAGAGAAAAAGUAAUGAAAACAAAGGAAAUGAGACCAGCUUAGAGUUGCAUUUAGCCUCUAAAGUGAAAAGGUUCCAUGUCUGGGAAACAUCACAAAAAGGGAACAAAGCAGAUCCGUGCAGAAUGAGGAGUGCUGGGACCUUGCGCCUGCAUCCCAGAGCCCUGUGCUCCAGCGACCUCACUAUAUUGCCAUCUAACCAAGUAGCUUCAUAAGAUGCUUCAUGUUUGCAGUGGGUUUAGUAAUCAGGAUCAUGUUUUAUUAAUUAAUCUUCACAGCUUUACUCUGAGCCGUAUCUGCAUUAUUAACUUCAUCCACAGACAGAAGACUAGUGUCCAAUAAUAUUGGCAUUCAGAAUCUACAGUCAGGAGGCCCAUGAAGGGUCCUAGAGAAGGCAACCAGAGAUCUCCUGCAUUUUGACGACAUGAAAAAGAAAUUAAAAGCUGGGCGUGGUGGUGCACGUCCUUAAUCCCAGC
rnacentral:lncRNA from 1 species